AAAUACUGCCCUUUAUCCAAUGAAAAAAAAGUAUUUCACGGUAAGCAGAACAUUUUUUCAUUCUCAAAGAAGUAUAGAGUAGAAAGGAAGAGUAUACCACCACCUGAUAUACGUUUUAUCUGACAGUUCCAUUCUUAGCAGCCAGAAUGUCCAACUGGUACUGCCUAGUCAAGCUAUGAAGGCCCAGGUGUUUUCAAGUGAUGCCCAAAAAGUCUUGUAAAGAGUCCAACUAUUAGAUUUAUAGUCAUAACAGGUUUUUUUUUUCUUGAUCCAGAUUUAGCUUUUCUAGAACCUUUAAAAGGACCUCUUAGUCUAGUAUGUUCUGGAGGAGAGAAACCAGCCAGUCAAACAGCAGAACCUAAUCUGACCAGGAAGUAUUUAAUGAAACACAUUUUUCUCAACCUGCAGUAGGUAAAAAGGAUGUAAAACUACCUUCUCCAGUUUCUCCAACUUCUUGGCUGGCAUGAUUAGAAAAUAUGCUUUAGAGACUCAAAUGAUUCUUUGCAGAAGGAUAGUAAUACUAGGUAAGGUUCCCAACUAGGAAUCAGUUCUCUCUUGUAGUGCUUGAAACUAGAGAUAGCCUUAUAAAUCCGCACUAUUUAUGAAAGAUUGCAGAUAACACUUGGCAAAUGAGCGAAUAUUUGCUCAAUAUAGCUAAUGGAAGUUCCUAGUAAAGAACUUCUGGAUGCCCAGCUGACACGAUAUAAGACCUCAAUCCAUUCAAAAGCAAUUUGAGUGCUUACAGGGUGACGGGUAGGACACUUGGCACCAUAACUAAAGUAAGUUGUCCACCAUUGGUUUUAUUUUUUGGUGGUCUUUUGUUAAGUAUUGUAACGUGACUAUUGCUAUAUUUAUUUAUUUCUGUUUAGUAGCCAGGGAAAUUCUUCUGACUAGUCUGCCAAUGGGAUUUCUACCUCUUAAUAUAGACUUUUGGACACAGUUGUUUGCUGGGCAGUGGAGUUUGCAAGAUGGCCACCAAGGAUUUUAGGAUGACCUGCACAUAUGGUAGCCCUUUAGCCAUUGCUAGUGUUAAGCUUCAAAAAUUGUGGUCUUCAAAACUUUAUAUAUACACACUGAACAAAAUUAUAAAUGCAAUACUUUUGUUUUUGCCCCAAUUCUUCAUGAGCUGAACUCAAAUACCUAAGACUUUUUCUAUGUGCAGAAAAGGCCUAUUUCUCUCAAAUAUUGUUCAUAAAUCUGUAUUCGUGAGCACUUCUCCUUUGCCGAGAUAAUCCAUCCACCUCACAGGUGUGGCAUAUCAAGAUGCUGAUUACACAGCAUGAUUAUUGCACAGGUGUGCCUUAGGCUGGCCACAAUAAAAGGCCACUCUAAAAUGUGCAGUUUUACUUUAUUGGGGUGAGGUCCAAAAACCAGUCAGUAUCUAACUAACCUAAUGCAGUGCAACACAUGUCCUUCGCAUAGAGUUGAUCAAGUUGUUGAUUGUGGCCUGUGG